rnacentral:rRNA from 1 species
CACGUAGGGGGCGAGCGUUGUCCGGAUUUAUUGGGCGUAAAGAGCGCGCAGGCGGUCGUCCAAGUCGCGUGUGAAAGCCCCCGGCUCAACUGGGGAGGGUCACGCGAUACUGAUCGACUCGAAGGCAGGAGAGGGUAGUGGAAUUCCCGGUGUAGUGGUGAAAUGCGUAGAUAUCGGGAGGAACACCAGUGGCGAAGGCGACUACCUGGCCUGUUCUUGACGCUGAGGCGCGAAAGCUAGGGGAGCAAACGGG